CACGAACCGUACAAACGUUAUUCGGAAUCACUGGGCUUAAAGGGUUUGUAGGCGGCCCUGUAAGUGAGGUGUGAAAUCCCUCGGCUCAACCGAGGAAUUGCGCUUCAAAACUACAGGGGCUUGAGGGAGACAGGGGUAAGCGGAACUGAUGGUGGAGCGGUGAAAUGCGUUGAUAUCAUCAGGAACACCGGUGGCGAAAGCGGCUUACUGGGUCUCUUCUGACGCUGAGAAACGAAAGCUAGGGUAGCGAACGGG
rnacentral:rRNA from 1 species